AUGGACUAUCAGCCCCUAAUCUCGGCCCUUGAUGUGCGCACAGAACCUCUUUCCGUAGACGACCUCUUCGGCAUGGUAGCCAACUUCGAUCAACGAGUAGAGAUGUUCCAUGGAUCGGGGGCAGGGGGCUUCAAGUCCUCAGCCAAUGCGGCCUACCAUGGCCAAGGGAGCUCCUCCAAGGCCAACCGCAACUCACCUAAAGGGGGUAGCGGCGGUGGGUCGCGCGGCGGCGGCACUGGUGGCGGCGGCUACCACAACAACAACUCCGGCGGCCGCUACAACAACUCCGGCGGCGGCUACCACAACAACAACUUUGGCGUCGGCCAACGCAUCUACAACAACAAUGGCAAUGGCGGCGGCUACAACAACAACCACCCACCUCGUCCCUUCUACAACAACAAUAGGGGCGGAGGAGGUGGUCACUUUGCCGGGUAUGAAGAGUACAAAAACAAAUGUCAGAUCUGUAAGAAAACUAACCAUAUUGCCAAGGAGUGCAAGUGGCGUUAUGCAGAGGACAACUUCCAACGAAGGCGUGUUGCAGCUGCGGCAGACACCUCCUAUGGUGUUGAUUCUGUUGGAAAUAUGCCCUAG
rnacentral:rRNA from 1 species